UCCUAGUUAGCUCAGUUGGUAAAGCGCUCCACUUGAAAUGGAGGGUCCCUAGUUCGAUACCACGACCAGGCG
rnacentral:tRNA from 1 species